UACGAAGGGGGCGAGCGUUGUUCGGAUUUACUGGGCGUAAAGGGCGCGUAGGCGGCCCUCCUUGUCGCGUGUGAAAGCCCCGGGCUCAACCUGGGAACGGCGCGCGAGACGGGGGGGCUGGAGUUCGGGAGAGGAGCGUGGAAUUCCCAAUGUAGAGGUGAAAUUCGUAGAUAUUGGGAAGAACACCGGUGGCGAAGGCGGCGCUCUGGACCGAGACUGACGCUGAGGCGCGAAAGCGUGGGGAGCAAACAGG
rnacentral:rRNA from 1 species